rnacentral:rRNA from 1 species
CCCAGACUCCUACGGGAGGCAGCAGUGGGGAAUAUUGCACAAUGGGGGGAACCCUGAUGCAGCGACGCCGCGUGGGUGAAGGAGUACUUCGGUACGUAAAGCCCUAUCAGCAGGAAAGAAAAUGACGGUACCUGACUAAGAAGCCCCGGCUAACUACGUGCCAGCAGCCGCGGUAAUACGUAGGGGGCAAGCGUUAUCCGGAUUUACUGGGUGUAAAGGGAGCGUAGACGGCAGUGCAAGUCCGGAGUGAAAGCCCGGGGCUCAACCCUGGGACUGCUCUGGAAACUGUAAAGCUGGAGUGCGGGAGGGGCAGGCGGAAUUCCUGGUGUAGCGGUGAAAUGCGUAGAUAUCAGGAGGAACACCGGCGGCGAAGGCGGCCUGCUGGACCGUAACUGACGUUGAGGCUCGAAAGCGUGGGGAGCAAACAGGAUUAGAUACCCUAGUAAGG